UAUUCUCUUGUAAUGAUCGCAACGCUCUUACGCGGACUCGAAAUAAGAUCUACUGUUUUCUCUAAACUCGUUUGAUAUCUUUUCAUGAUUUCCGCAUACAUUCGAUCACUUGUCGUUGGCUCUCGCAGAGAUCCGGGACCUCUGGGAAAUUAGGGUUUUCCUAGUUUCCUUAUUUAAACGGAAAUCGACAGUGCAAAUUUCGGUUCCCACAACAACUCGAGAUGUUACAACCACAUUCAUAAUACCACUUUUCAUGUUUACACUAACCAUUUUUAUCCUCACUUUUAAAAAGGAAAAAAUAUAUUUAAACUCCAUGGUUAACUAAUCUAGAUUUAGGGUUUAGAGUUGAGGGGUGGUAUAUGGUUUUUGGAAUGUGAAAUUUAGGAUUUUAAUAAAUAUAUAAAUAAAUAUUUAAAAUUUUUUAAAUAGUUUCAAAAAAAAUUUGAUUUUCAAAAAGAAAUUUUGAAAAAAAAAUUAUAAAAAUAUUCAAAUUUGACAAAGUAUAAUUCGAAAACAUAAAAAAAAUAUAUUAUUUUUUAUUUUUUAUUUUAUUUAUUUAUUUGAAUAGUUACUUAUUACACAUAUAUAGAGAGAACAAAGAUAUAAGUUUUUUUACCUCUUAGUGGAAAAGAUAUUUUUGAAAAUGUCUCUUUAGUGAUUGUAAACAUAAAUAAUGUUACCAAUAAAAUAGUAAACAUGAAAAUUCCCAAUUAUGAUUUCAAAAGCCCAAGUAUUACUAUAUACUAGUGGUGUGUCCGCGCUACGCGCGGGAUCUAUGAUAAUUGUUCAACCAUAUGUUUAGUAAUGUGUUGAUGUUGAUAAUGUUAUACUGGGAAUUAGGUCCCGGAUUUUGUGGUGUUGAAAUGGUGGUUAUCAUUGUUGUGUUACUUGAUUAGUACUUAGGUGGUUUUAACUUAUGUACGGCUGUACGCAAUGAUUUAUGGUUUUUGAGUUAGUGGGUAGAGUAAGUUGAUUUGAAGAGAAAAUUUGGAAUGAUGUUCGACCAAUUAUAUUUUUGUAAGGCGGUUGUAUAGUUUGUGUUGUUGCCGUAGCCAUUUUUUAUAGUUUUGUAAGGCAUAUAACUUAAAUGCAACUGAUGGAGUUUAUUGAAGUUCAGUCUAUUCAAUUGUAUAUUCUUAGUGUGUUAUUACUGUGCAUAAGUAUGAAGUAGUGUUUGUUUGCCGUUUCUGUGUUAGUUUAUAUAUUAUUGUCCGUUAGUGUUCAGAAAUAUAUUUAAUUUUGCACAGACUGAUGACUGGAUAUUGUAAUGGUUUUUUGGUUAAAUGGUUGUGGGCUGUGUUUUGUUACUAUGUGCCAUGUAUUUGGACGACUAUUGAAGCACAAGAACUUGUUUGAUCUGUUGGUAUUGUUUGGAUUGGCUCGGAUUCAUUUUUAUCUAAUUAAUAAUUGUUUCUGGGUAAUAGGUAUGGAGUAAUUAUUUAUUUUUUGUUGAUACUUAGUUUCCCACUCUAUUUUUGGAGUAAAUUAUGGAGUAGGGAUGGAGAUGGUCUUUGUUUACGUGCUCUCUCAUAGGUGAACAAAAAAGGUUUAGUUUUCAUCUUAUGACACAUUCAUUUUCAUAGUGUCGGAUUUAACUAUUUUAAUACGAUUUUGUUAUGUAUAUGUGACUAAAUAAAACAUAACUUCAUCAUUUGAUGUGGUGUGACGGGGUUGACAUUUUAUAAUAAACAAAAAUUGAAAUUUAAAGUAAGAGUAACACAUAACAUAAAUUGAUUUUUUCUUAUAAUAAUGAUAUAUUUUUUAAUAAAUAAAAGUAAUUUUAAAAUAUUAAAAUAUAAAGAUAUUAAUAUAACUAAUUUUUAUGAUUUUAAAAAUUAAAAUCAAUUUUAUUUGAAAAGUAUUUCAUUGAUUAUAAAUAUAUAUAGAAUAUAAAAUAUUGUAUUUAUAUGAAUAUUUGGCCAAAUAAUAAGAAGAAAAUAAUAUAUGUGAAAUCUUAUAACAUUUUUAAAAUAUGUUGGUGCACCAAUUGAGUAUGAUUGUCUUUAUGAAUGAACAAAGCAGGGAUUUUAUUAUUACUUCUUAAUCUCAUGGGUCAUGGCCACCACUCGCGGGAGAGAAUGACGAUGGAAAUUCUUCUUGCUUUACUUUUUUUGUAAAUUUUCUUGCUUUACUGAAUUUUCAUAAUUUAAAUUCAGAAACGAAAUAUCUCCGUCUUUAUGCAUAAACACUUAAAAUUUGUCAACUAAUUCUUACAUUCUUCUUCGUAGAGAAAAACCUCAAAAGAAUAAGUAGAAGAUGCAUGAGUUCUCAUAAACGGUUUUUGUGGAAUCUGCAAGAUUUUUAAUUUUUUUUGGAACACAACCUGCGAGUAUAUAUAUGUAAGUGUGUGUGCAGGUAAAAGAUCAAUUUGCAUAGAUAAGCUGGUUUCGUUUGGGAGGCUAGCACUGAGUCAAUACCUUGAAUGUUGUCUAUUUUCCAGGUACAUAAUCACUUUUUGUUUCUUUCUCCUCUGUAUGGGUGGGCACUUCGGUUAUUAUAUCGAUUCGGUUUAGGUUCGGUUUGGUCUGGUUAAUUUGGUUCUAAAAAAAUUUCCAACUGAAUUUAACCAUAAUUAGUUAGGUUUGGAUCGGUUUCGGUUCUGUUUGUAUUCGGCUUGAUUUGUGUUUCGGUUUCGUUCAAUCGGAUUCCCCUAGUUUAGUUCUUUUAAGAGAAAUCAUGUUUUAAAACAUAAACCCAUGGUCACGAAAUCAUCAUGUUGGUUACUAUGAAAAAAAAAAUUAUGUAAACUAAAUCCAAUGUAAAACUAAACAAAAAUCUUUUUAAAACCCAUAAAGUUUAGAAGAACACAAUCAGAUCAAAGUUAACUAUCAUAAAUAGAAAAUUAAAAAACAUUGCUAAUAAUUUCUCUUAAAAAUAAACUAUGUAAAUUAAAUCUAAUAGAAAACUGAAACAAAAACCUUAAAAAUCAUAAAAAGUUGAUAAGAACACAAUCAAACCAAAGUUAACUAAAUUAAAUAGAAAUUUUUUUUAAAUUUUUUUUUAAUAAAGUUAACAGUGACUUUAGCUUUAAACCGAACUAUUUAAUAAUAGACUUUGGUUUGGUUUGGAUCGGUUUCGGUUCAGUUUGUUCGGUUUUUUUGCCCACCCAUCCACGCAUGAGCCAAUAUUUAAACUCUGGAUUUAACACAUGCCUUCAUGUAUUUAUAGAAAUAUCUCAUUAAUUGUAUAUAUAUAUAUAUAUAUAUUUAUUAAAAUCAAAUUAGAUUUAAUUGGUGAAAUGUUAGAGUAAUAUAAUGACUACUGUAGAAAAUAUUUCUAUAGAUACCCAAAAGUCAUGAAGAAAAAGUCAAAAGUAGAAAUAUAAAUAAUUAUUAUUAUCGUUUCUCUUUUUUUUUAUCAACUAUUAGCAUUUUUCUCUAAUAAUGAAGAAGAAAAGUAUAGAGUGGGUAAACAUGUCACAUGAAUGCAUAGGUAUGAACAUGUCACCACUCCUCUUUUCUUCCAUCAUCUUGCUUCUGUCGUUUGACUCUCUCCUCACAUUUUUUGGCUUUUCAACAUUUUUCCUAGAACUUCAAUUGCUCUCUAAUUUCAAAAUUGAGACUCCAAAAAAAAAAUUUGUAUUCAUCUUUUCUUUUCCAUAGAUCUCACUCAAAAGUAGUAAGAAUAAAGUAUUUCUAAGUUUCCCUUUCUCUAUAAUGACUCUCUUUUUCUCUUAAUUUCCCUUUAAGUUUCACCAAAAUCUCUGUCUUUGUACAAAUAAAUACAUCGGAUCUUAACCUUCAAACAUGAUCUUCCGGAUAAAGCAUCUCAACAAAAGCAGUAAGUCACUGAAACGUAUGGAAAGAGGUAAACCCAAAAAGUCGGGCUUCAACGGUGUUGGCACAACAACUGGCUUUCAAGUCGGAUAACAAAAGGUUCAAGGUGGCUGUUUCAGAGUCUAAGGAGGAUUGAGCUUCACGGAGGAACACAUCCUUAUUUAUAGGACGUAGAUCUUCAUAGGACGACUCUGGUGAUGCAGUUAGACGUAGAAGCUAGAUAUGAUAUGGUAUUUUUGUUCCCCCAAAUUUUCAACAAAACUUUGGUGCAAAUUUUAGUGAACUAGAUUAUAUUAGAUUAAUGAUAAAGUAAGUUUUUUUUUUUGCUAAAUGGUAAAUAUUCAUUAAUGAAAAUGCUAGUUUCUACAAGCUGCUUAAGCCGCAAAGAAAAUGGCAAAAGACUUUUUGGAAUAUAAUGAAUGAAUAUCAUUUUCAAGUUGCUUAAGUUUUUUUUUUUUUGGAAACUAAGUUUGUUCAUGUGUUUGACUAUAACUGUUUAGGAAUGGUAUAUGUAGCAGCCAUGAAUGUGAAUAAGAAUGGUUGGUUAAUUUUCUUAUGUCGAACUAAAAUAGUCUUACUGAGCUUUAUAAAUAAAAGAUAAAUCUCAAUGGCAAAAAUUGUUAAUUUAAUUUGUUAUGUUACUAAGGCAAUGGUCAAACUAUAAUUUUUGUACAACAUAUUUUUAUGGAGUAAUUAUUUUUUAAUUGAUAGAAUAAUUUAAUGUAUUUAUAAUUUGAUAAAUAUUUUGACUAUAUGACAUGUCUCAGUGACCUUCAAUUUAGUUAUUUUCAUUUUAUUGAGAAAGAGUAGGGAUAUUGAAUACGACGUAGUGAAAAUAUUAGAUUUAAUGGCGUAACUGAGAAACUUAAAUGGUGAAUUGAAGUAGCAAAUAAAUGAAACUGCAGCCGUUAUAGAGGAAUUGUUCCGAGGCGUCAUGAUAUUGCGGCUCUGCUCAGCAUCUCCAACGUCUAAAAGAUGGAAACUCUUGGUCCAUUAUAAAAGCCCAAUAACUUACUAAAUAGAACACUUGGUCCAUUAACAUAAACAAAAACUUGAGAUGAAUAAAUAAUGAGAUGACACGUGUCGCGUUUUGGAACCCCCUUCGCUGAGGUGGCUUCAUGAGAAAUGAGACUUGUCAACUUUAUUGUAAUAAAUAUGCUUUGAAUCUCCUAGUAGUCUAGUGGGCUAAUUUCAAUCAUCACAUCCACUUCACUAUAUGCAUUAUCUUUUAGAUUAUUAUAUUUUUUAGCUAGUGGGUUUUCCGGGAUACACCAGGUUUUUUUAAUAUAAAUUUUAAUUUUCUUAAUCUAUUAUACUUUUUUUUAAUAUAGAUAAUGCGCAUUUAUCUAUUUUUACAAAAUAUAGUAAUAAAAUGAAGUUUAAAUUACUAAAGUGAAAACGCUAAUAAUAUUGAAAAUAUAUAUUAUAUGACUUAAAAUGAAGUUUCAAUUAAUUCUUUUUUACUAUUGCGAUAUUUUUAUUGUUUAGAACUAUUUUUUAAUAAAACUAAAUAUUUUUAUUGGUUCAAAUUUUUUUGUGUAUAUAGAUUGUAAUUUUUUUUUUGUCGCCACUAUUUUGUUGUGAAUAGAGAAAAAAGUGGUUUAAUAGAUGAUAAAACUAAAUGUUUAAAAACAAUGUAUGAUGUUUUAAUUUUUGAUUUUCAUUACAAAGAAUAAUAAUUAAGUUGAAAAACAAAGCCCAAAUAAAAAAAAAACCCUUCAACAAAUGAUAACAUGACAAGUGAUAGAAGAAGCCUCCUUUGGAGAGAAAAAAACUAUACUUUAUUAGUAAAGAUAUCUAAAAAAAGAAUAUAAGUUUGCGAGUCUUGGAAAAAAAAAGUUUGCGAGUCUGAUUUUUUUUUAAAUAAUAAGUUUGUGAAAUAGUUUAAAUAUUUAUACAGAAAUUUGAGGAUUUUAAAGUAAAUUUAAGUAAAAAUUUGUUCAUAGUUUUCUGAAUUAUUUUUAUAAACAUUCUUCAAUUUAGAAUGUUAUUGGUAAUAUAUAUAAACAUGUUUCACCGAAGUUUGAUGAACAAGCCGAGGUAAAUUACGUCCAACAAAUUAGUGGAUAACAUAUUCUAAUUGAGAAAUUGUAUAAAAUAUUCUAAUUGUCUAUAAUUUAAAAAAUAUAUUUAAUCAAAAAUACUCUAAUAUAUGGAUUAAAAUAUUAGUGAUUACUACUUAAGGUUUAGUAUUUAAGAGAUAUGAUUAGAUUUAUAAACUUCUAUAAAUGUUUUAUAAAUUAUUUUUAAACAUUUAUAAGUGAUCAAUUAAUAAACGGAAAAUACACACACACACAAACAAACAAACAAACAAAAAAACAAAAAAAAAAC